GCCCGGAUGGCGGAAUUGGUAGACGCGCUAGUUUCAGGGACUAGUUUUCGCAAGAAAGUGCAAGUUCGAUCCUUGUUCCGGGUA
rnacentral:tRNA from 1 species